UGCCCGUGUUCCUGGUUUCCAAAGUCAUGA
rnacentral:piRNA from 1 species